rnacentral:rRNA from 1 species
AACGAACGCUGGCGGCAGGCUUAACACAUGCAAGUCGAACGGAUCCUUCGGGAUUAGUGGCAGACGGGUGAGUAACGCGUGGGAACGUACCCUUUGCUACGGAAUAACUCAGGGAAACUUGAGCUAAUACCGUAUGUGCCCUACGGGGGAAAGAUUUAUCGGCAAAGGAUCGGCCCGCGUUGGAUUAGCUAGUUGGUGGGGUAAUGGCCUACCAAGGCGACGAUCCAUAGCUGGUCUGAGAGGAUGAUCAGCCACACUGGGACUGAGACACGGCCCAGACUCCUACGGGAGGCAGCAGUGGGGAAUAUUGGACAAUGGGCGCAAGCCUGAUCCAGCCAUGCCGCGUGAGUGAUGAAGGUCUUAGGAUUGUAAAGCUCUUUCAACGGUGAAGAUAAUGACGGUAGCCGGAGAAGAAGCCCCGGCUAACUUCGUG